rnacentral:snRNA from 1 species
GUACUCGCUUCGGCGGUACAUAUACUGAUAUUGCAACGAUACAGAGAAGAUUAGCAUGGCCCUGCGCAAGGAUGACAAGAAAAAUCAUGAAGCGUCCCAUAUUUCU